ACUGGCAGGCUUGAGUCUUGUAGAGGGGGGUAGAAUUCCAGGUGUAGCGGUGAAAUGCGUAGAGAUCUGGAGGAAUACCGGUGGCGAAGGCGGCCCCCUGGACAAAGACUGACGCUCAGGUGCGAAAGCGUGGGGAGCAAACAGGAUUAGAUACCCUGGUAGUCCACGCCGUAAACGAUGUCUACUUGGAGGUUGUGCCCUUGAGGCGUGGCUUCCGGAGCUAACGCGUUAAGUAGACCGCCUGGGGAGUACGGCCGCAAGGUUAAAACUCAAAUGAAUUGACGGGGGCCCGCACAAGCGGUGGAGCAUGUGGUUUAAUUCGAUGCAACGCGAAGAACCUUACCUGGUCUUGACAUCCACGGAAGUUUUCAGAGAUGAGAAUGUGCCUUCGGGAACCGUGAGACAGGUGCUGCAUGGCUGUCGUCAGCUCGUGUUGUGAAAUGUUGGGUUAAGUCCCGCAACGAGCGCAACCCUUAUCCUUUGUUGCCAGCGGUC
rnacentral:rRNA from 1 species